GGGACGGUAGCUCAACCCGGGAGAGCAACCAUUUGGCUCUAGAUCGCCUGAAGAGCGAUGUGUUGUGGGUUCAAAUCCCACCCGUCCCA
rnacentral:tRNA from 1 species